ACAGUGGCGAGAGGAUUCAGUCUGGCGUCUCGUGCGUGCUUGACCGGAAGACAAUCAUGGCUUCCCGGGAUCGGGUGCCGUCCGGUCGCACGGUCGCGUCCCGUCAGACGCAUUUGACUCUCGCCCGAAGGACGCUGCAGCCGGUGGGGCAGUUGCAAACGUGACGGCCUGAAGGUCGGGAGAUGGCAGUUGACCGGUGGCACGCAUCAGUGUGCCUGCCGGUUGUUAGCCGUCCCGUCAGUGGCCCGUCGCCCCACCGUGGUGUCACUAGGCCCUAACGGGCCUUCUUCGUCUCCUUAAAGUUAAGCGAGUAGAUCGCCGCUGGAGCGGGCAGCCGACAUGUCGCACUCAUUGCGUGUGGACGGUCGAGCGAGUCUACCCCGCAGGCGGACGGCAGGGCUCGCCGGAGGCUGGAGGUUCGCAGCGAGUAGGUCGGUCACCCACCCGACCCGUCUUGAAACACGGACCAAGGAGUCUAACAUGUGCGCGAGUCAAUGGGUCUUGAACAGGCCCAGAGGCGCAAUGAAAGCAAAGGCUGGGCGUCGUGCCGGCCGAGUUGGGAUCCCCGCUCUCGGGCGGGGCGCACCAACGACCCGUCCCGUCCGGCUCGCCGGUGGGGCGGAGUGUGAGCGUACACGUUGGGACCCGAAAGAUGGUGAACUAUGCCCGGACAGGACGAAGCCAGAGGAAACUCUGAUGGAGGUCCGC
rnacentral:rRNA from 1 species